AGACUCAUCCCUUUAAUUAAAAUGAGGGAGGUCAUUUAAGAUCAAACACAGAGCUGAAAUAGCCUCUCACUGUUACCAAGAAGACCACAGGGUGCCGAACCUGCAUUGAGUUUUACUAAUUAGCUAACCUGCCGCAGCUCGCCUGCCAGGUGGUUUUCUUAAUUUGUUAAUUGGUUGCAUCUGGUGCAUUUCACUUAAAAGGGAACCGGACAGUACAUUUGUUUGUGGACUGUUGUGGUCUGUUGUGACUUAUUUAACAUCUCUUCCAGUUUCACAGGUUAAAGACUUUUUGAAGUAAAGAGGAGCAUCUCAUCUGAACCUGAUGUCUAUCAUGGAUAUUUAACUGCAGUUCUGUGAGUAUCUCAACUUAAACAUGAGGCAUAACUGCAAACUGUAAGUCAUUCAUUUCUCAUUACUCUUGGGCACAUUGAUGUAUUUUGGCUUCCUGGUGAGUUAACCUGUUACCUGAAAGUUGAUCUGAGUAGUAAGGAUGUUUUAUUGGUUCAUGGGUUACUUAGGCGUUUGGUUUAUGUUGGUUUUAAUGAUUUGUUAAAAUGGUUACAGGCUCCAAGUUAUUGUUGUAAGCUGGAGUAAUGGGUUGGUUUCUGAUAUCUUCAGUCUUUCAUUCUACUCUCCUGAGCUCUGCAUCUUCAUCACAUGAGUGUUGCUUUACUGAUGAGUCUGUGGUGUGGUCUGAGUGAGCAGAGGUGCAUACUGGGGUACAGAGCUGCCUCGAGUCUACAGGUCCGUAGACACGCCCCCUCAGGGGAAACCGAGUGUUUGAAAAACUGUCGUGUCGUCAGUUACAUGGACUGGAAUGUUCUUAAAGAUGGAGACAGGGAUUCAGAAGGAGAAACACCAGGGGGGAUGAGGGGGCUCCUCAUCUCAACGACUAAAACACAACUUCAGUCUGACACAGAGAACCAUGGAACACAUUCAACAGUCCCCUCCAGGCAUCGUGACUCCUCAGGAACAGUUUCAUUUCCAAGAAGUCUUAUUUGGGGCCAUCCCCAUAUGGAUCCUGCUCCUCAAGAGCCACCCCCCUCCACUGAGUGGUCUUCUGAACAGAUGAUCUCCUUCCUGUCCUCAGGCUGACUAAAGCUGCACCGUUUGCAUCUGUGAAGGCCCCUCAUUCAGGAAACCACUGGACUUCAAAGACAUGACUUCAGAGAUGUUGAAUCAACCUGGGACACAUUUUGGAGACGCCAAGCAUAAUCCAUCACCAAUGUGGGACGCCACUGAAGAAUGUUGUACAUAAUUUACGUCUCUGGAGACAUUGGUUGUUCUGUUAUGGGUGCCCUGGCAGGAGAGCUUUGGGGGGGGGGGGAUGGAAUGUUAUUUGCUAUGAGGUUUUUACCCUGCAUGAUUGUUUGGACUGUUAUGGCUCAGUUGUGUGUGUGUGUGUGUGUGUGUGUCAUGAGAUGGAAGAUUUUUUAGCAUCGCUAGGGUUCUACUGUGUGUGUGUGUGUCUCCCACUCACACCAGGCAUGGGGUUCUACGUGCCUUUCCUGGGUUCUAUGUGCGUGUGUCCGGCUUGCUUUGAAAGUGAUAAUGUUCAUACGGGGUGUCUGUGUGAUUGGCUUGGGAUAUUGGAAUGGUCAACUAAAUCAUACCGGAUGGACGGCCACAAGUUUACUUAAGGACCUCCAGUGGACAUGAAGAGCCCUGAGUGAUGCUCCGGAGCGAGAUCCAACACACUGGGCAGUAGGGAGAGUAUCCAACUCAAGUGUAAAAGGAUGCAAGGGGCGUGUUCAAACAGUGACUUCUAACUAGGACUACACCAAUCAGGAUCAAUGGAGGAUGGACACCAAAAGGAAUUCCACAAGGAGAGUCUGACGUUGGAAAGGGACCUAAAUGGAUAUUCAAGAUGACCUUCAGACCUGUAAUGAGACGGCUCUUCCUACCUGGCUGGAUUGAUGGAGAGCCCUGUGGAUCUUGUCUUGCUCUCAGUUGCACGUCUUCUCAGGCUGAACUAAUUGUUUCGGACAGGACUAGCUGAACGAUUGGUUCCCUUAAAUCAGAACCAAUCCGGGAACUCCAGCUAGAGAGCUCUGAAGUUGUUGUGCUCUUCAAGCUGAAUUUGUGCUCUUCAGCUGAGGAGGUAAGGAAACCUUCACUGGGGCUUCAAGGUGUAAAGAGGAGAAUGUUUCGAAGUGUUCCAUGGUACUCUGAUGAAGACCGUUGUUGUGUUCCACUGGCUGCGAGGAAGAACCCACACAUCUUCCUCUUGGCCUUUCUCCUCUGAGAAUCCUGGCGCCAUCUUGAAGGAUAUUCCAGCUCAUGUAACUGAUGUCACGACAGAUUCUCAAACACUUGGUUUCUCCUGAGGGGCGUGUCUAUGGAACUGAAGACUUCAGACGGCACUGUAUCCCAGCAUGCAUCUCUGCUCACUCAGACCACACCCCCAUGAGUAGAAUGCAACACUCUAGUGAUGGAGAUGUAGUUUUAUAAGUAACGAGGGAGCAGACUAAGGUUAUUAGAACACAAUGGAAUGUCAAGUCUGUAAAUCUUUAAGCCAUGAAGAUGGUUGGAUAGUUCAGGAAUUGGGCUUCUUUUUAUUAUGGGCAGUCCUUUCACUCAGAUGCCCACUUCUCACUGGAGCUGUACAUGUGUUGGCUGGCUGGCAUGAUUUGCUGUUGGUGAUGAGGCGGUCAGGGUGACGUUGCAGGGCUAUGGUCGGCUCUCUGUGAGCUCAAUGUUUAGUUUUGCUCUGUAUGGUUUGUACCCUGAAUAAUCUAGAUAAUUGUAAAAUGUAGACACGGUUUUGUAUUGAAUGAUUCCUGGAUUUUAGGUUUAAAGUUGUUGUGGGACGUACAUGGUAGUUUGGUUCUUCGUAUGGUUUUGAGUGAUAUAACUUGUACACACUGGGUGCAUAAUAAUGUAAAGGUACACUGAAUAGUAUUAAUGACCAACAGCAACAAACAGAUCUCCUCAAGGUAAGUCUGUUGGCUGUGUUUUAAUGAAGACCAUCGCUGGACUUCAGGAUCUUCCUCCGUUCAGCUCAAGGUGAGGCGCUGGUUCGGUUUUUUCUUUGGUUGGUUCCGGCCGGAAUGUUCGUAUUCCAGUCGGACGGUUUGUGCUUCCCGCCGUGGAAGGUUCUGAGUGCGGUCACUUGAUUUAGUCCCAAUGGUUAGCAUAGAACGUUGUAGUCUUGACAACCAUAAGAAACCACCUGGCAGUUAGUUUGAAGGGAGUCCCCUGAGGGAAUCUGGCGGAACGUUCUGGAUUGUAUUUGAGUAACCUCGAGGCGUUGCCAACAGAAACUAUCUUUCAGUCGUUUUCCAUUGGGAAUUGUUGCCCCUAUCUUAAACAACUAAAGUUUGAUAUUAAAUACAUACUGAGACGUACUUCGUACAAUAUGUUGAUAAUUUCCGAUGGUUGCGCCGUACUUUUAACCACGAUGACGUUGCGGGACUCUCACUGCGUACAAAAACAGCGUUAUACUUGCGGGCCCAUUUUUGACUGGCUGAAAAUCAUUUCAAGGUGGAAGAUAAUUUGACAUUUCUUCAACGGAACCCAGCACCUGAAUAUGGCUGAGUAUAUUUGAUUUAAUAUCGAUACUGCUUAGUGUUCUUUGUUACUUCAGCUUUUGUACGUUCUAAAUAUAUUCUGUCAUUAAUUGCCACAGAAGUUAAACCCUACCCAAUGGAAUGACGUUAAAGAACGACUUUGGUGCAGAGUUACUAACUGGAUAAUAUCAAAGCUAAAAUAAUGUCCGUCAUUCCCACAUGUUACAGUAGAAGAUACUGUUGAACUGUACAAGGUUAAAAAGGUAACGUGUAGUUUGUCCCAAGGUGUCUGCCUCCUCACCCAGAGCCAGACCUCCACCUCCUCACCCAGAGCCAGACCUCCACCUCCUCACCCAGAGCCAGACCUCCACCUCCUGUCAGAAGUCCUCCAGAACAGAUGAAAGGCGAGGCUGAGAGGCUGGGGACCGGAGGCUUGUGGUGCCAGGGUGGACCGGAGACUGGGGCUGGAGACCAGGGGCCUGCAGCACCGGACCAGAGGAACGUGUUUCUGGAGCGGAGGCGAGCUGGUAGGGGAGCCGUGAAUCUGGAGGAUGACCAUCACUCUACCAACAAGGAUUGGCCAGACUCGCUUGUUCCAGACCAGGACUCUGGCUGAGGAGAGCUGAUGGAGGAGCCAAGACUCUGGAGGACGACAUCACUCCACCAACUAGGAUCCUCACCAGGAAUCUGGAGGACUGAUGGAGAAGCCAUACAUCUGGAAGGCAAAUCCUGAGGACCACCCGGACUCGACCAUCAAGGAUUCCUCAUAAAUGUGCAUUAUCUGGACAUAGUGGACAAGACACACCUGAGCUGAACCUCACCUGAUCCUGUUUGGUCGGGGGUAGACACACCUGAGCUAAACCCGCCCUGAUCCUGACAUCCUGCUGGUCCCGUCUCCUCAGUUCAUCUGAGGCUGAUGGAUCAAUGACCUCCAGUGGGAGUGAUCUUCUUGACCCCACAUACUUUAGGGCCAGACUCGCUUGUUCCAGACCAGGACUCUGGCUGAGGAGAGCUGAUGGAGGAGCCAAGACUCUGGAGGACGACAUCACUCCACCAACCAGGAUCCUGAGACCAAUUACGUUUGUAACCAGACCAGGAAUCUGGAGGACUGAUGGAGAAGCCAUACAUCUGGAAGGCAAAUCCUGAGGACCACCAGGACUCUACCAUCAAGGAUUCCUCAUAAAUGUGCAUUAUCUGGACAUAGUGGACUAGACACACCUGAGCUGAACCUCACCUGAUCCUGUUUGGUCGGGGGUAGACACACCUGAGCUAAACCCGCCCUGAUCCUGACAUCCUGCUGGUCCCGUCUCCUCAGUUCAUCUGAGGCUGAUGGAUCAAUGACCUCCAGUGGGAGUGAUCUUCUUGACCCCACAUGUAACCGUGUGCUUCCACACGCCAUUCCCUCACGUCUGUCACUAACCUCACUACUUCACUACUCUCUACUGUUUCCUCUUUUCUUCCUUCUCUGUGGUCAAAAACUUUACACUGGAGGCGCGUCUUCCUGCCCUCAGAGGGUUU